AUGACCAAAAGUAACGAAGACUGCGAACCUACUGUUUUUGAGGAUGCAAAUACAACUGUAGCCCUCGACGAAAUCAGCUAUCUACAGACUAACCUGAGCCUGAAAUGAGUGAAAAUGAGGGUGGUGAGUUUAUAUAAACUCAGUGAGUAAACAAACAUCAUCUAAAAUAUCUAAAAUCGAGUAAAUGGAGACAACUUAAAAUAGUUCAUCGUACUAUGAUUCAUAACAUUUCAAACUCAUUUCAACUAAACAAACUAAAUUCAUUUCACUCAAAUAAUCAACAUGGCUUAUGAAUUUCUUAAAAAUUUGGCUCGUGCCAAAAAUUAAUACUCGAUGAUGUCUUGCGUCGGGGCAUCCAACCGAGUCCGUCAAGGUUGUUAAAGAAAAGUUCAUAUACCCAUAAAACACAUUUUUACUUUUAAAAGCAUAGUCGUUUCUUGGCGUUAGCUGAGUUCACCCUCACGUGGUGGUUUAGCGUGUAGUGAACUCUAAGGCUUUACCUCAGGAGAUAUCCUCCGCGCCUCUCGUACCGAGGUAAAUAUAUAACGGGGUUUACCAUGCCCCUCUAAUAGGCUAGUCCACGGAAACCCACCACUGCAGUGACUAAUCAAUAUCCCACCAAAUCAAUAAAAGUUUCAACAACAUGACAUGGCAAUUAUAUUACUAUCCAGCCUGUUAAGGCAAAACAAACAGUUCAUACAAUUUCAACACAAUUUCCAAUUCAUCCAUUCAUGCCAAUAUCACCAUAAGCCAUUCAAUUCAAACCAUAAAUUUACAACACAAACAAACAGUCUCCAAUUACUCAAUUUCUAAAAUCAUCAUUCAAUUUCAAAAUGAUUUAUAAAACUCAUUUCAUUUAAUCACAUUUUACUUAUAAAACAUAAGAAUUUACCAUUUAAACUCAUUUUUUUAUAAAAUCACAAAAACGAAUAAAAACUACUUUAGAUAAUUAAGACGAUAAUAAGGUUACUCACGAUAUUGGGAGUUCGAAAUACUCCUAUUCUUGGUCCUCUGGCAAAAUAUCUUUACCCUUAUUAGAAGACUCACCACCUAUACACAAUACACGACCAAUAAUUCAAUAUAUUGUGUCAGGUCAUUAUAAAUCUAUUUCAGGCUCUAUAUGAAUGCAUGAGGUUGUUUGGAUUAUUAUCUAAAUACAAUGUUCUACGUAGGUUCAAUUGUGUAUGGGGCUGAAAUGGUAUUGACUUAAUUCACACUAUACGCCGGUUAAUUGGCCAAAAUAUCCAAUUCAACUCCAAAUAAAUUCAUUUCACUUCCAAUACUCCAAAUCAUCAAAUAUAAGCUAGCUAACAUGAAUUAUAGCAAAAUCAUCCUCAACAUUUUCUCUUGAAAAAAUUCAACCAUGGAGGGUUCAUGAAUAAUAUGUGGUUUUUCAUGCUUGAUUUUUACACUUUACAUCAUUAAACAACUAAAAACACCUAAAUAGAAUGAAAUUCAUCAAAGUCCAUUUUCCAAUUUCUCUCUUGAAAAAUUCAGCCAAUGGGUGUGGGUGAAGGGCAUGAAAUUUCUUGCUUGUUUUCCAUGCUAAACAUCACCAAACAACUAAAAACACUAGAAUAACAUGAAAUCUAGCUAAAUCCAACAUCAAAACCCCUCCCCCCAUGUCCCGCCAGCAAAGGUAUCUUCAUGCAAACUUGAUUCUCAACCAUGGGAAAUGAAAACGAAUGCAUAGGAAAGGUAGAUCUCAAGCUAAAAUUGAAAAAUCUUACCUUUUGUCACUUGAUUCCUUGAAAUUCCAAAAUUUUCUCUUGAAUUUUUCUAACUAGGUUUUGUUCUUUCUUUCUUUCCUCUUUUCCUUGGUGAGGCCGAACAUAUGGGAGUGAAA
rnacentral:lncRNA from 1 species